CCUACGGGUGGCAGCAGUGGGGAAUAUUGCGCAAUGGACGGAAGUCUGACGCAGCGACGCCGCGUGAGGGAUGAAGGUAUUCGGAUCGUAAACCUCUGUCAGGAGGGGAGAAAGCACAUGGCGCCAAUCCGCCAUGCGUUGACGGUACCUCCAAAGGAAGCGCCGGCUAACGCCGUGCCAGCAGCCGCGGUAAUACGGAGGGCGCGAGAGUUAAUCGGAAUUACUGGGCGGAAAGCGCGCGUGGGCGGUUGUGUAGGUUGGGGGUGAAAUCCCAGGGUCCAACCGUGGAACAGCCCUUGAUACUGGGAGACUUGAAUCCGUGAGAGGGUGGCGGAAUGCGAGGUGUAGGAGUGAAAUGCGUAGAUAUCGGGAGGAACAUCAGUGGCGAAGGCGGCCACCUGGAUCGGUAUUGACGCUGAGGCGCGAAAGCGUGGGGAGCAAACAGGAUUAGAUACCCUUGUAGUC
rnacentral:rRNA from 1 species